UGGAGGAUGUGGAUACGUCUAGAGAUCCGUUUUGUUUUCGCCAACAGAUCACAAUUUUUCAGCGGAUUGAACGUUUUUAAUGUCGAUCGGUUACGCAUUGCAGAAUGGACAGAAAAUAUUUUUUCGUUCCAGCAAUGGUUGAAGCGCAAAAUGGUGGUGCACUCCGGGAGCCAUCGCAUACAUUUAUGCUUACUGCUCGAAGGAGAAAAGUGAUCUGCCGAUCUCGAGAUAAUCCGUUAAUACGUCCGACGACCUAAUGCCCAAGGAAAAACCAACAUCUGACCCGCAUAAUGAUGGCAUCUGAAUGCAGAUUGUUUUCAAAUAGUUUAGGGUGAAAUAAGUGUUUUAUGAAAAAAAAAAUUGAAAUAAAUGAAAUAUUUUUAUUCUUCAAA